CAUAUUUGGUCCUCCUUGUGCUAUUUUAUUCAAUCCAAUCACACACAAAACUCAUAGAUCAACACAUUAGACUUCAAAGACUCGAAUAAAACCCCGAUUCAAAAAAAAAAAACUGAUGACAGUGUUUUUUGUUCAAUUUGGAUUUAUUUCGACGGGUAUAAGAUUAAAUCCUGCAUAAAUGAAGCUAAGCAUGAAUAGUUUGUGAAAAUUAUGAAGAAUUGCGGAGAUCUAUAAAGUGAAAUUGAGUAGAAAUCGGGUCUGAUUUUGCUAUGCUAGGUUUUACCCGAUCUAGAAUUCCAGAUUAGGAAAUUGAAGCGUAAUACUGUUCAUUUUGUUCCAUGUACUCCCUUGGUAAUCAAAACUUUACAGAUCCACCCCCAUGUUUUUUUUCCCUCUUUUUUUAUUACUUAUAAUAAUACUGUACAUUUUGUUCCAUGUACUCCCUUGGUAAUCAAAACUUUACAGAUCCACCCCCAUGUUUUUUUUCCUUUUUAUUAUUAUUUAUUAUUUAAUAAGGUAUUAAAUUAUUAAUUAGAACUAUGUACAUUGGUGGUGUAAGUGAGAAUCCAUUGACAUAUGCUAGUAUUAUCUUCUAAGUUUAUUGUAUUAUUUUCAAAAUAAUAUCUUCAACAUCUAACAAACGAGAGAAAAACAAUUCUACAACAAAAGAGAUAACACAUUCGAAGAAAAUAUAGUAAAUGAGAUCACGGACAACAAAAUAAAAGGGAGUUAUCAACUUUUUCUCAAAGUGAAUUAGU
rnacentral:lncRNA from 1 species